ensembl:snRNA U1 U1 spliceosomal RNA
AUAUCUGGCAGGGGAGAUAUCAUGAUUGCAAAGGUAUUGUCCCCAGGGUGAAGCUUAGCCAUUGCACUCUGGGUGUGCUGACCCUUGUGAUUUCCCCAAAUGCUAGAAACUUGACUGCAUUAUUUGUGGUAGUAGGGGGACUGCAUUUGUCCUCUUCCCUG